UACGAAGGGGGCUAGCGUUGCUCGGAAUCACUGGGCGUAAAGCGCACGUAGGCGGAUCUUUAAGUCAGGGGUGAAAUCCUGGAGCUCAAACUCCAGAACUGCCUUUGAUACUGGGGAUCUCGAGUCCGGAAGAGGUAAGUGGAACUCCAGUGUAGAGGUGAAAUUCGUAGAUAUUCGGAAGAACACCAGUGGCGAAGGCGGCUUAUGGUCCGUACUGACGCUGAGGUGCGAAAGCUGGGGGAGCAAACAG
rnacentral:rRNA from 1 species